CAGCAUUAUACAUGUACUGCAGAUAACUUGGACAAAAGAGGAGGUAUAGAGAAGAAUUUCACAGGUACCUUCUAUGUGAUUUACACAGUGAAUGGCCCUGCUUUCCGAGCAAGUUAAUGAUAUAAUAUCCCCAUUUAUAUUCAGAGCAGUCAACACUUUCUAGCUCUCAGAAUAAUAAAAGCACCUGCAUUUAAUAUACAUGGAAGAAUGGGAAGGCGAAUAGCAGAUAAGGCACAAUCAGUAACAUGGACUGAUCACUGAUCAGAAUGAUGAAUUAACUUAACCCCCCGAGGGAGCUUUAUUCACCCAAGAAGUUGUUAUGUAUAUUCUGAAUACCAAGGAUGGAACGAGAACUAAUUUUCAGAAGAUUUCGAGUGGCAAGAG